GACGAAGGGGGCGAGCGUUGUUCGGAGUUACUGGGCGUAAAGGGCGCGUAGGCGGCGCUCCAAGUUAGGCGUGAAAGCCCCGGGCUCAACCUGGGAAUUGCGCUUAAGACUGGAGUGCUCGAGUGCGGGAGAGGUGAGUGGAAUUCCCAGUGUAGAGGUGAAAUUCGUAGAUAUUGGAAAGAACACCAGUGGCGAAGGCGGCUCACUGGCCCGCAACUGACGCUGAGGCGCGAAAGCGUGGGGAGCAAACAGG
rnacentral:rRNA from 1 species